UACAAUUGUAAAUCUCACUUAUAUAAGGUAAUUCACAACCGUGUAUUUGAAUCAAUAAUAACUAUGUUUCUGCAGCAAAAUACAUAGUAAGUUGUUCUGAUCGCAAUCGUCGUCAUUCGUUUAAAGCAGUAUUUUUGGCGGUUUUUAUCGAAGCCAAGAUCAUUAAGCAUGUCCAUGAAAGUCAAGCAUUCUUUUGCAAAAACUCCAAGACUGCUAAUUGAAAUAUUUAUAAAUUUGACGUUCUCGGAAUGCUCGCUUUGUUCCCUAAUCAAUUCUGAGUAUUUGGCCUUUUUGCGUUGAACAUUCUUUUCGAGAUUAGACUCGUACCCAACAGUUAGUUCCACGAUAUAUAAACAUCCACUUGAGGAGUUGAGGUUGACAGCAGCAAAUCAGGACGAUAACAGUCACCAGUAAUGAUGGAUGGACUUUUGUAUCCUGGGAGAUCCACAUAAAGACAUGAUCCGCUGACAGUCGGCAGGUUCGUCGCAAGAAAGUUUAAGACAG